AGGGGAGAGGGGGCGGAGGCAAAUAAAGAGGGAGGGGGCAGGCUGAGACGGAGCGAUUCCGGAGGCCACCGUCCAGGCUGCUCCCGGGCUGCCGCGCUCGCCCGUUUCCGGCUGCUUCCCCCACUCUCCGCCAGAGAUUGGCUGUAAAGAUCCCCAAAUGAACUCAGGAGGACCCUCCAGAAAAGUUACCAUCUUAAGAUCUAAAUGA
rnacentral:lncRNA from 1 species